AGCGAACGCUGGCGGCAUGCUUAACACAUGCAAGUCGCGCGGGUGGUUUCGGCCAUCAGCGGCGGACGGGUGAGUAUCGCGUAGGAAUGUAUCCCGAGGUGGGGGACAACCCUGGGAAACUGGGGCUAAUACCGCAUGGGGCCUGUGGGUCAAAGCCUUAGGGCGCCUUGGGAGCAGCCUGCGUCCGAUUAGGUAGUUGGUGGGGUAAAGGCCUACCAAGCCUGCGAUCGGUAGCUGGUCUGAGAGGACGAUCAGCCACACUGGGACUGAGACACGGCCCAGACUCGUACGGGAGGCAGCAGUGGGGAAUAUUGGACAAUGGGCGCAAGCCUGAUCCAGCAAUGCCGCGUGGGUGAAGAAGGUCUUCGGAUUGUAAAGCCCUUUCGGCGGGGACGAUGAUGACGGUACCCGCAGAAGAAGCCCCGGCUAACUUCGUG
rnacentral:rRNA from 1 species